GCUUACGGCCACACCUCCUUCAGCACGCCCGAUCUUGCCUCAUCUCGGAAGCUAAGCAGGGUCGGGCCUGGUUUGUACUUGGAUGGGAGACUGCCAGGGAAUACCAUGUGUGCUGUAAGCC
ensembl:rRNA 5S_rRNA 5S ribosomal RNA